GUUUGAGCCAAUCACAGACAAGCUUCUAUCGAGGCUCAUGUUCAAGCAGGAAGAGAAGGACUCGAGAGGAAACUGCGACAAGAAACCAAAAGAAACUCCGUUAAAAAUGGUGAUGCUAACCGUCACUGAACACCCACAUGUGAGUGAGGUGAGAGACUCGGAUCAUCAUGGUGGUUAAAAGCUACACGUGGACACAAGUUUCCAUCUUCAAGUGGAAGGAAACCUGUCAGUUCACUGAGGACGACUCCUUUUCAAGAAAGGACAGUUCACAGAUGUGUCUGAGCCUCCGAACAUGGUGAACAGAAUGUAUCCUGCCCCUGCACACGUUUUAUCUUCGUGAUGGAUGGAAUAAAGUCCACCGACUCAACCUGAAAGCUGACGGGGUGUUGGACCAGAGGAGCUUGUCAGAGCGAUGGUGAACAACAUCAACGGUGUCGUAGCAGCUCGUCCUCCUCAGCAUGAGCACAGAUACACAACCACUGAGUUUCUCCAGGAGACAUCUUGAAGCCCUACAGCUGUGUUAUCGUCUCAUUCCUGGUGAGGCCCACCAGGGGGAGUCCAGCUCUAUAUUUGUCUUCAAAUAAACUUUGGUUUUACUGUCAUAA